rnacentral:tRNA from 1 species
GCUUCCUUGGUGUAGUCGGUUAUCACGUCGGUCUCAUAGUCUCGCUAUGACUAGCUUAAACAGUUAGCCAUCCGAAGGUCGCCAGUUCGAAUCUGGCAGGGAGCA